rnacentral:rRNA from 1 species
UACGGAGGGGGCAAGCGUUAUUCGGAAUUAUUGGGCGUAAAGGGCGCGUAGGCGGCUAGAUGUGUCAAAGGUGAAAUCCCUCGGCUCAACUGAGGAACUGCCUUUGAAACUGUCUGGCUUGAGGCCGGGAGAGGGUAGCGGAAUUCCCAGUGUAGCGGUGAAAUUCGUAGAUAUCGGGAGGAACACCGGUGGCGAGGGCGGCGACCUGGGUAGAUACUGACGCUGAGGCGCGAAAGCGUGGGGAGCAAACAGG